rnacentral:tRNA from 1 species
GGAGAGGUCGCAUAGUGGUCUAGUGCGCUACCUUGGAAAGGUAGUAUGCUCGCAAGGGCAUCGAGGGUUCAAAUCCCUCCCUCUCCGCCA